rnacentral:ncRNA from 1 species
CAGCACCUGUGCUGGCUCUGCAGUAUAAAAACCUGCCCUGGAAAGUAGCUCAGGUGUACUUGCUCUUAGGAGCUUCUUGGGGUCCCUGUGGCGGCGACAACACAUUCAAAUGUCUGCCCUAUCAACUUUUGAUGGUACUUUCUGUGCCUACCAUGGUGACCAUGGGUAAUGGGGAAUUAGGGUUUAAAUCUGGAGAGGAAGCCUGAAAAACAGGUACCACAUCUGAGGAAGGCAGCAGGGGCACAAAUUACCCACUCCCGACCUGGGGAGGUAGUGA